GCUGACAGUAGCUCCGUGGUCAGAGCACUCGUCUGGUCAACGAGGGAUCGCAAGUUCGGUUCUUGCCUGUCGCC
rnacentral:tRNA from 1 species